AACGAACGCUGGCGGCGCGCCUAAUACAUGCAAGUCGAGCGAGAAAGUGUAGCAAUACACUUGUAAAGCGGCGAACGGGUGAGGAAUACAUGGGUAAUCUACCAUCGAGUGGGGAAUAACCAACCGAAAGGUUGGCUAAUACCGCGUACGCCUCCGAGUCUUCGGGUUCGGAGGGAAAGCUGCACUGUGAGUGUAGCGCUCUUUGAUGAGCUCAUGUCCUAUCAGCUUGUUGGUAGGGUAAUGGCCUACCAAGGCUUUGACGGGUAGCUGGUCUGAGAGGACGAUCAGCCACACUGGCACUGCGACACGGGCCAGACUCCUACGGGAGGCAGCAGUAAGGAAUAUUGCGCAAUGGGCGAAAGCCUGACGCAGCGACGCCGCGUGGGGGAUGAAGGUCUUCGGAUUGUAAACCCCUUUCGGGAGGGAAGAUGGAGCGAGCAAUCGUUCGGACGGUACCUCCAGAAGCAGCCACGGCCAACUUCGUGCUAGC
rnacentral:rRNA from 1 species